UACGUAGGGUGCGAGCGUUGUCCGGAAUUAUUGGGCGUAAAGGGCUCGUAGGCGGUCUGUCACGUCGGGAGUGAAAACCUCGGGGCUUAACUCCGAGCCUGCUUCUGAUACGGGCAGACUAGAGGUAUGCAGGGGAGAAUGGAAUUCCUGGUGUAGCGGUGAAAUGCGCAGAUAUCAGGAGGAACACCGGUGGCGAAGGCGGUUCUCUGGGCAUGACCUGACGCUGAGGAGCGAAAGUGUGGGGAGCGAACAGG
rnacentral:rRNA from 1 species